AACAAACGACUCUCGGCAACGGAUAUCCCGGCUCUCGCAUCGAUGAAGAACGUAGCGAAAUGCGAUACUUGGUGUGAAUUGCAGAAUCCCGUGAACCAUCGAGUUUUUGAACGCAAGUUGCGCCCGAUGCCAUUAGGCUGAGGGCACGUCUGCCUGGGUGUCA
rnacentral:rRNA from 2 species